rnacentral:tRNA from 1 species
CGGGGCGUGGCUCAGUUUGGUAGAGCGUCCGGUUCGGGGCCGGAAGGCCGCCGGUUCAAAUCCGGCCGCCCCGACCA